rnacentral:rRNA from 1 species
AGCGAACGCUGGCGGCAGGCCUAACACAUGCAAGUCGAACGGACCCUUCGGGGUUAGUGGCGGACGGGUGAGUAACACGUGGGAACGUGCCUUUAGGUUCGGAAUAGCUCCUGGAAACGGGUGGUAAUGCCGAAUGUGCCCUUCGGGGGAAAGAUUUAUCGCCUUUAGAGCGGCCCGCGUCUGAUUAGCUAGUUGGUGAGGUAACGGCUCACCAAGGCGACGAUCAGUAGCUGGUCUGAGAGGAUGACCAGCCACACUGGGACUGAGACACGGCCCAGACUCCUCCGGGAGGCAGCAGUGGGGAAUCUUGCGCAAUGGGCGAAAGCCUGACGCAGCCAUGCCGCGUGAAUGAUGAAGGUCUUAGGAUUGUAAAAUUCUUUCACCGGGGACGAUAAUGACGGUACCCGGAGAAGAAGCCCCGGCUAACUUCGU